UACGUAGGGGGCGAGCGUUGUCCGGAUUUAUUGGGCGUAAAGAGCUCGUAGGCGGUGUGUCACGUCGGCCGUGAAAACCUGGGGCUUAACUCUGGGCGUGCGGUCGAUACGGGCAUCACUAGAGUUCGGCAGGGGAGACUGGAAUUCCUGGUGUAGCGGUGAAAUGCGCAGAUAUCAGGAGGAACACCGGUGGCGAAGGCGGCAUCCUGGACCGGCAUUGACGCUGAGGCGCGAAAGCCAGGGGAGCAAACGGG
rnacentral:rRNA from 1 species